rnacentral:tRNA from 1 species
GGGCGAGUGGCGGAAUAGGCAGACGCCUGGGACUUAAAAUCCCAUGUCUCGUGAGAGGCGUGAGGGUUCGACUCCCUCCUCGCCCA